rnacentral:rRNA from 1 species
UGAGGAAUAUUGGUCAAUGGACGAGAGUCUGAACCAGCCAAGUAGCGUGAAGGAUGAAGGUUCUAUGGAUUGUAAACUUCUUUUAUACGGGAAUAAACGGAUCCACGUGUGGAUUUUUGCAUGUACCGUAUGAAUAAGGAUCGGCUAACUCCGUGCCAGCAGCCGCGGUAAUACGGAGGAUCCGAGCGUUAUCCGGAUUUAUUGGGUUUAAAGGGAGCGUAGAUGGGUUGUUAAGUCAGUUGUGAAAGUUUGCGGCUCAACCGUAAAAUUGCAAUUGAUACUGGCAGUCUUGAGUACAGUUGAGGUAGGCGGAAUUCGUGGUGUAGCGGUGAAAUGCUUAGAUAUCACGAAGAACUCCGAUUGCGAAGGCAGCUUACUAACCUGUAACUGACAUUGAUGCUCGAAAGUGUGGGUAUCGAACAGGAUUAGAUACCCUGGUAGUCCGCGCGGUAAACGAUGGAUGCCCGCCGUUGGGAUUUAGAUUUCAGCGGCCAAGCGAAAGCGUUAAGCAUCCCACCUGGGGAGUACGCCGGCAACGGUGAAACUCAAAGGAAUUGACGGGGGCCCGCACAAGCGGAGGAACAUGUGGUUUAAUUCGAUGAUACGCGAGGAACCUUACCCGGGCUUAAAUUGCAGUGGAAUGUAGUGGAAACAUUACAGCCUUCGGGCCGCUGUGAAGGUGCUGCAUGGUUGUCGUCAGCUCGUGCCGUGAGGUGUCGGCUUAAGUGCCAUAACGAGCGCAACCCUUAUCUAUAGUUACUAUCAGGUCAUGCUGAGGACUCUAUGGAGACUGCCGUCGUAAGAUGUGAGGAAGGUGGGGAUGACGUCAAAUCAGCACGGCCCUUACGUCCGGGGCUACACACGUGUUACAAUGGGGGGUACAGAAGGCAGCUACCUGGCGACAGGAUGCUAAUCCCUAAAACCUCUCUCAGUUCGGAUUGGAGUCUGCAACCCGACUCCAUGAAGCUGGAUUCGCUAGUAAUCGCGCAUCAGCCACGGCGCGGUGAAUACGUUCCC